rnacentral:rRNA from 1 species
AUUGAACGCUGGCGGCAGGCUUAACACAUGCAAGUCGAGCGAGCGGCGGACGCGUGAGUAAUGCCUUGGACCCUUCCUUAUGGAGGGGGAUAACUACUGGAAACUGUAGCUAAUACCGCAUACCAUCAGAUGUGCCCCGAUGGGAUUAGCUAGUUGGUGGGGUAAUGGCUCACCUAGGCGACGAUCCCUAGCUGGUCUGAGAGGAUGACCAGCCAAACUGGAACUGAGACACGGUCCAGACUCCUACGGUAGGCAGCAGUGGGGAAUAUUGCGCAAUGGGGGCAAGCCUGAUGCAGCCAGGCCGAGUGUAUGAAGAAGGCCUUCGGGUUGGAAAGUACUUUCAGCGGGGAGGCGUUACCCGCAGAAGAAGCACCGGCUAACUCCGUGCCAGCAGCCGCGGUAAUAC